rnacentral:rRNA from 1 species
AUUGAACGCUGGCGGCAUGCUUUACACAUGCAAGUCGAACGGUAACAGGCCGCAAGGUGCUGACGAGUGGCGAACGGGUGAGUAAUGCAUCGGAACGUGCCCAGUCGUGGGGGAUAACGCAGCGAAAGUUGCGCUAAUACCGCAUACGAUCUAUGGAUGAAAGCGGGGGACCGUAAGGCCUCGCGCGAUUGGAGCGGCCGAUGUCAGAUUAGGUAGUUGGGGGGGUAAAGGCUCACCAAGCCGACGAUCUGUAGCUGGUCUGAGAGGACGACCGGCCCCACUGGGACUGAGACACGGCCCAGACUCCUACGGGAGGCAGCAGUGGGGAAUUUUGGACAAUGGGCGCAAGCCUGAUCCAGCAAUGCCGCGUGCAGGAAGAAGGCCUUCGGGUUGUAAACUGCUUUUGUACGGAACGAAACGGUCCUGGUUAAUACCCGGGGCUAAUGACGGUACCGUAAGAAUAAGCACCGGCUAACUACGUGCCAGCCGCCGCAGUAA